rnacentral:rRNA from 1 species
UACGGAGGAUGCAAGCGUUAUCCGGAAUGAUUGGGCGUAAAGCGUCCGCAGGUGGCUAUGUAAGUCUGCUGUUAAAGAGUCUAGCUCAACUAGAUAAGAGCAGUGGAAACUACAUGGCUAGAGUGCGUUCGGGGCAGAGGGAAUUCCUGGUGUAGCGGUGAAAUGCGUAGAGAUCAGGAAGAACACCGGUGGCGAAGGCGCUCUGCUAGGCCGCAACUGACACUGAGGGACGAAAGCGUGGGGAGCAAACAGG